UACGUAGGGGGCAAGCGUUGUCCGGAAUUAUUGGGCGUAAAGGGCGCGUAGGCGGCCUUCUAAGUCAGACGUGAAAUCCCCCGGCUUAACCUGGGAACUGCGUCUGAUACUGGGAGGCUUGAGUAUGGGAGAGGGAUGUAGAAUUCCAGGUGUAGCGGUGAAAUGCGUAGAUAUCUGGAGGAAUACCGGUGGCGAAGGCGGCAUCCUGGACCAUAACUGACGCUGAUGCGCGAAAGCUAGGGGAGCAAACGGG
rnacentral:rRNA from 1 species